GGUGGACGGUGCCGAGACAUGGUGGCUGUGGUGAACGGUGCUGCUAAGACAUGGUGGCUGUGGUGGAUGGUGCCGAGACAUGGUGGCUGUGGUGAACGGUGCUGCCGAGACAUGGUGGCUGUGGUGGACGGUGCUGAGACACGGUGGCUGUGGUGAACGGUGCUGCCGAGACAUGGUGGCUGUGGUGGACGGUGCUGCUGAGACAUGGUGGCUGUGGUGGAUGGUGCCGAGACAUGGUGGCUGUGGUGAACGGUGCUGCUGAGACAUGGUGGCUAUGGUGAACGGUGCUGAGACAUGGUGGCUGUGGUGGACGGUGCUGCUGAGACAUGGUGGCUGUGGUGAACGGUGCUGAGACAUGGGGCUGUGGUGAAUGGUGCUGCCGAGACAUGGUGGCUGUGGUGAACGGUGCUGCUAAUGUGUCUGGAAUUGGUGGAUUCUUGGUCUCACUGACUUCAAGAUUGAAGCCGCAGACCCUCGCAAUGAGUGUUACAGUUCUUAAAGAUGGUGUGUCCGGAGUUUGUUCCUUCUGAUGUUCGGAUGUGUUUGGAGUUUCUUCCUUCUGGUGGGUUCGUGGUCUCGCUGGCUUCAGGAGUGAAGCUGCAGACCUUCGCAGUGAGUGUUACAGCUCAUAAAGGCAGUGCAGACCCAAAGAGUGAGCAGCAGCAAGAUUUAUUGCAAAGAGCGAAAGAACAAAGCUUCCAUAGUGUGGAAGGGGACCCGAGGAGGUUGCUGCUGCUGGCUCCCGCAGCCUGCUUUUAUUCCCUUAUCUGACCCCACCCACAUCCUGCUGAUUGGCCCAUUUUACAGACAGCUGAUUGGUCCAUUUUAUAGAGAGCUGAUUGGUCUGUUUUGACAGGGUGCUGAUUAGCGCGUUUACGAUCCCUGAGCUAGACACAGAAUGAUAUUUACAAUCCUCUAGCUAGACGUAAAAGUUCUCCAAGUCCCCACUAGAUUAACUAGACACAGAGCAGCGAUUGGUGCAUUUACAAACCUUGAGCUAGACACAAGGUGCUGAUUGGUGCGUUUACAAACCUUGAGCUAGACACAGAGUGCUGAUUGGUGUAUUUACAAUCCUGUAGCUAGACAUAAAGGUUCUCCAAGUCCCCACCGGAUUAGCUAGAUACAGAGAGUGCUGAUUGGCGCAUCCACAAACCCUGAGCUAGACACGGAGUGCUGAUUGGUGCAUUUACAAUCCUCCAGCUAGACAUAAAAGUUCUCCAAGUCCUCACCCGACUCAGGAGCCCAGCUGGCUUUGCCUAAUGGACCCAGCGCCUGGCCGCAGGCAGAGCUGCCCACCAGUCCAGUGCCGUGCGCUACACUCCUCAGCCCUUGGGUGGUUGAUGGGAUCGGGCACCGCGGAGCAGGGGUGGUGCCCGUUGGGGAGGCUUGGGCUGCAUGGGAGCCCACGGG
rnacentral:lncRNA from 1 species